AUACGGAGGGUCCGAGCGUUAUCCGGAAUCAUUGGGUUUAAAGGGUCCGCAGGCGGUCAAUUAAGUCAGAGGUGAAAUCCCAUUGCUCAACAAUGGAACUGCCUUUGAUACUGGUUGACUUGAGUUAUACGGAAGUAGAUAGAAUGUGUAGUGUAGCGGUGAAAUGCAUAGAGAUUACACAGAAUACCGAUUGCGAAGGCAGUCUACUACGUAUAUACUGACGCUGAGGGACGAAAGCGUGGGGAGCGAACAGGAUUAGAUACCCCAGUAGUCC
rnacentral:rRNA from 1 species